rnacentral:tRNA from 1 species
GCGCCCAUCGUCUAUCGGACAGGACACCAGGUUUUCAUCCUAGUAAGAGGAGUUCGACUCUCCUUGGGCGCGCCA